rnacentral:ncRNA from 1 species
AUAAAGGCUGUGAUGGAGAGAAAAAUAUUCGAUGCAUUAAUUGCAGAGAGCAAACAUUAGGUGGGAGUUUGUAUUAAUGUGAAUAUAUAAUAACCACUCCGGAGCCUCCUAGUUGAAAGACUUUUGUUAAGUAGACAUGGACGUUUACCAGCGAUAUAUGGUUAGGGUUCACACUGAGUAAGAUAUACUUCUAUGAAGUCGACCCGAUAAUGAGAGGCAAUUAGUAUAUCUAAUUGCAAAUAAGGUGGUACCACGGAAGCUUAAUCUUUCGUCCUUAAU